CAUGCAAGUCGAGCGGGGGAAGGUAGCUUGCUACCGGACCUAGCGGCGGACGGGUGAGUAAUGCUUAGGAAUCUGCCUAUUAGUGGGGGACAACAUCUCGAAAGGGAUGCUAAUACCGCAUACGUCCUACGGGAGAAAGCAGGGGAUCUUCGGACCUUGCGCUAAUAGAUGAGCCUAAGUCGGAUUAGCUAGUUGGUGGGGUAAAGGCCUACCAAGGCGACGAUCUGUAGCGGGUCUGAGAGGAUGAUCCGCCACACUGGGACUGAGACGCGGCCCAGACUCCUACGGGAGGCAGCAGUGGGGAAUAUUGGACAAUGGGGGGAACCCUGAUCCAGCCAUGCCGCGUGUGUGAAGAAGGCCUUAUGGUUGUAAAGCACUUUAAGCGAGGAGGAGGCUACUCUAGUUAAUACCUAGGGAUAGUGGACGUUACUCGCAGAAUAAGCACCGGCUAACUCUGUGCCAGCAGCCGCGGUAAUACAGAGGGUGCGAGCGUUAAUCGGAUUUACUGGGCGUAAAGCGUGCGUAGGCGGCUUAUUAAGUCGGAUGUGAAAUCCCCGAGCUUAACUUGGGAAUUGCAUUCGAUACUGGUGAGCUAGAGUAUGGGAGAGGAUGGUAGAAUUCCAGGUGUAC
rnacentral:rRNA from 1 species